rnacentral:lncRNA from 1 species
UGCUCUAUACUUUCUGUUGUUAGUUGUUACUUUAGAACAUUAUUAUGCUAUAUCCAUGCCAUAUAUGAUUUUCUGGUUUAUCAUUGAUGUUUUUUUGUUAUGUGCUUAAUAUUCGUAUUCGCAAUGUUUAUCAUUGAUGGUGUUUUGUUUUGUGAUUUAGGUUUUUUUGUGUGUUUUAAUUCUUAAUUUUUGAAGAUUCUAAUAUUUUGUUUUGGUUGAUUUUAUGAUGUUUUUGGUUUGGUUAGUGG